rnacentral:rRNA from 1 species
GACGAACGCUGGCGGCGUGCCUAAUACAUGCAAGUAGAACGCUGAAGGAGGAGCUUGCUUCUCUGGAUGAGUUGCGAACGGGUGAGUAACGCGUAGGUAACCUGCCUGGUAGCGGGGGAUAACUAUUGGAAACGAUAGCUAAUACCGCAUAAGAGUAGAUGUCGCAUGACAUUUGCUUAAAAGGUGCAAUUGCAUCACUACCAGAUGGACCUGCGUUGUAUUAGCUAGUUGGUGAGGUAACGGCUCACCAAGGCAACGAUACAUAGCCGACCUGAGAGGGUGAUCGGCCACACUGGGACUGAGACACGGCCCAGACUCCUACGGGAGGCAGCAGUAGGGAAUCGUCGGCAAUGGACGGAAGUCUGACCGAGCAACGCCGCGUGAGUGAAGAAGGGUUUCGGAUCGUAAAGCUCUGUUGUAAGAGAAGAACGAGUGUGAGAGUGGAAAGUUCACACUGUGACGGUAUCUUACCAGAAAGGGACGGCUAACUACGUG